GAUGAACGCUAGCGGCAGGCUUAAUACAUGCAAGUCGAGGGGCAGCAUAAGUAGCAAUACUUGAUGGCGACCGGCAAACGGGUGCGGAACACGUACGCAACCUUCCUUUAAGUGGGGAAUAGCCCGGGGAAACCCGGAUUAAUACCCCGUAAUAUUAUGAUGUGGCAUCACAUUAUAAUUAUAGAUUCAUCGCUUAAAGAUGGGCGUGCGCCUGAUUAGGUAGUUGGCGGAGUAANAGCCCACCAAGCCUGCGAUCAGUAACUGGUGUGAGAGCACGACCAGUCACACGGGCACUGAGACACGGGCCCGACUCCUACGGGAGCAGCAGUAAGGAUAUUGGUCAAUGGACGCAAGUCUGAACCAGCCAUGCCGCGUGGAGGAUGAAGGU
rnacentral:rRNA from 1 species